AUUGAACGCUGGCGGCAUGCUUUACACAUGCAAGUCGGACGAGUGGCGAACGGGUGAGUAACGCAUCGGAACGUACCGAGUAAUGGGGGAUAACUGUCCGAAAGGACAGCUAAUACCGCAUAUUAUUCGAGCGGCCGAUGUCUGAUUAGCUAGUUGGUGGGGUAAUGGCUCACCUAGGCGACGAUCCACAGCUGGUCUGAGAGGAUGACCAGCCACAGUGGAACUGAGACACGGUCCAGACUCCUACGGGCGUAAGCAGUGGGGAAUAUUGCACAAUGGGGGCAAGCCUGAUGCAGCCAUGCCGCGUGUGUGAAGAGGGCCUUCGGGUUGUAAAGCACUUUCAGCGGGGAGGCGUUACCCGCAGAAGAAGCACCGGCUAACUCCGUGCCAGCAGCCGCGGUAAUAC
rnacentral:rRNA from 1 species